GGCCCCUUCGUCUAAUGGUUAGGACGGCAGGUUUUCAUCCUGUAAACAGGGGUUCGAUUCCCCUAGGGGCUA
rnacentral:tRNA from 4 species